CCUACGGGGGGCAGCAGUGGGGAAUAUUGGGCAAUGGGGGAAACCCUGAUGCAGCGACGCCGCGUGGGUGAAGAAGCGCCUCGGCGCGUAAAGCCCUGUCAGCAGGGAAGAAAAUGACGGUACCUGAAGAAGAAGCCCCGGCUAACUACGUGCCAGCAGCCGCGGUAAUACGUAGGGGGCAAGCGUUAUCCGGAUUUACUGGGUGUAAAGGGGGCGCAGACGGCGAUGCAAGCCAGGAGUGAAAGCCCGGGGCCCAACCCCGGGACUGCUCUUGGAACUGCGUGGCUAGAGUGCAGGAGGGGCAG
rnacentral:rRNA from 1 species